rnacentral:rRNA from 1 species
UGGUGUCUUUCGAAACUUGACCUCAAAUCAGGUAGGACUACCCGCUGAACUUAGCAUAUC